rnacentral:lncRNA from 10 species
GGCGUCCCAGUCCGACCCGCGCGCUGCGCCCCUGCUGAGCGGCGCGGAGCUACCACGCCCUGCCAGACUCGCCCUUGGGUCCCUGUCUGACGAGCUCUAGGCAAUCUGCCCUCGUUCGGGACACAACCAUCGGUCUCACCCCUCAGUUUCUGCCAGAGAAAAAGGAAAAGUCACCGAGAGGCCUGACCCUGACGGGUGGGGGAGAUGCGCGUGCGGAGUAGCGGGAAGCGACUGAGGAGCGGGGAAUGGGCAGCAUUUGAAUGGAUGCGGGUGCCGCUGGCACCCGGGAAGACGCUGGGGGCCGGCGCUGUAGAGCCGGGCAUGGGCUGGGAUGUGUUUGGAUUCCAAUCCGGGCCUGACACCAGUUCAGUGACCUCGGGAAGUUCCCCAACCCUCCGGGCCUGUUUCCUCCCUCUGAAGUGGCGACAGUAGUAGAACCGACCUCGUAGGCUCAUCGGGAGGUCCUGAUGGGAGAACCCAUGCAACUUGCCACCAUAGAGCCAGGCCCGCGGCGGUUGGCGCCUGGUGGGUAUUAAAGACGAGUCGGGAAAGAAGAGCAGGUUGAUAGACUGGAUGCUGCUAUGGUAAUCUGCCUCAGGAAAAUGCCGGACUGUUGUUUGCAAGCUGGUUAAGUGAGCAAAUCUUGGGAAGAUUUCAAGUUUUUAUCUUCAGGAAACUCCCAAGCAUUCUGGAAGCUCUGCAUGUGAGUAAGAACCACUGCUGUUGCUGUUGCUGUAGCUGCCUGAAUCUAUGGCAAAAAGCCAGGAAAAAAAAAUUGCUUCACACCAUGUGCACCGACUCCCCUGGAGCUGGCACCACCAGGGCGUCUGCAGAGCUAUGUCUGACAGUCCUGCCAUUUCCUAACUUCUCCUGUGUGGUCAUCCACCUACCUUUGGGAACCUCCAGUCAUUACUCACAGAGUUGGUCUCAUCCUGGGAACUCUCUCUUGCCUCUCCCAGUGGUUCAUUCUCCAAGUCUGAGUUAUUUGGUCAAAAAAACCUCCAAAUGCUUCAGACAACUCUCGCAAACUUGUCAUAGCUUUUGGUAUUCCAGGCCACAGAAGAGCCCAGGCAGAAUCAGUGUUACAUUUGUGGUCAGAUGAGCUAACGACAUCCUUCCUGACUUCUUUCUCAGAAUUAGGAAACCCUGAUUAGCAUUUAGAACCUCAUUUUCACAGACUUCACUCAUUAAAACAUCAAGACCUAGGUAACGCACCACUGAAAUUUCAUAAUAUGGAGGAUAUGUUUAAAUAUGUUUAAAAUAUGUAUUUUUAACUGUGGUUAAAAUAUGUUUUUAAAAUGUUUAUGAGUCAAAAUAAUUAAAAUUGCCAU